rnacentral:rRNA from 1 species
UACGUAGGGGGCAAGCGUUGUCCGGAAUCAUUGGGCGUAAAGAGCGUGUAGGCGGCCUUAUAAGUCGGCUGUGAAAGUCAAGGGCUCAACCCUUGAAUGCCGGCCGAUACUGUGAGGCUAGAGUCCGGAAGAGGCGAGUGGAAUUCCUGGUGUAGCGGUGAAAUGCGCAGAUAUCAGGAGGAACACCGAUGGCGAAGGCAGCUCGCUGGGACGGUACUGACGCUGAGGAGCGAAAGCAUGGGGAGCGAACAGG